rnacentral:piRNA from 1 species
AUAGAAAGGGGAAUUUGUUUAAC